GGAAACCUUAUAGUUGUUUAAAAUAAUUUAAUUAUUUUUAAGAUAGUACGAUAUUUAUAAACUAUAAAUAGAUUGAAUCAUUUUCUAUUUUUUAAGCAAAGAUAAAAAAAAAUAUAUAUGAUGGAAUUUCUCAUUUUUGUUUAUGCUAUCAUUCUAUGUUUUAUCUUAUUUAUUGUUGCAACCAAAGCUGGUGGUGAAAUUAUUCAAUGUGAAACUGACUCCGAUUGUCUCGAAGCUUGGAUUAAGUAUUAUGUUCAUAAGUGCAUUGAUUACAAAUGUAAAUGGGUUAUAAAGAGUCCUUGAUUUUACGAGACUAUGAAGAAUACAAAUUUUUGCAAGAGAAUGUGUUAUUGUACUAGAAAAAUAAAUGUAUAAUUUACCUUAUGAUGGAAUAUUCUAUGAGUUGUAAUUGUUAUUAUAUUGGCACCCAAUAAUUUAAUUAUCUUUUCUUUUCUUAA